UUGUGUCUAUUGCUAAGCUAUGUUUGCCUAGUCCACUUAGCUGUAAAUAGGCACAAUG
rnacentral:pre_miRNA from 1 species